AAUUUUCAGCUCUAUGCGAAUUUUUGCAAGCUUACCACUAUUUUGAUGUCUAUUUUGACCGGACUAAUAUGAAUACAAAACCGAAGAUUGAUCCCCGACGACUUCGUAAUGAAAAAAGCGGGAAAAUUAUAAUUUAAAAUUUUGCUUUGAAUUACUUAAUGUUCAAUGAACUAAAAAGAUAAGGCAUAAGCACAUUUCCAGCUAGAAGCACGUAUUAAAUUUCAGUUGGUAAUUGUACAGCAAAAACUGAACACGUUAUGGAUGAGAAAAAAGCUAACAAUGAGAGUCAAAAAUCUACAAAAGGCAAAACAAGCACUCAAAAAAAUGUAACGCUAACUAUUCCAACCGUAAUUAUGACACCUGCAACACCUCCGACGAGUCCAAAUAAAAAACCUAUGUAAUUGAACAAAAAAGGUAAAUAAAACACCUGGUAUUAUUGUU